rnacentral:rRNA from 1 species
UCAAGCUACUAAGGGCAUACGGCGGAUGCCUAGGCGCCAUCAGCCGAUGAAGGACGCGGUAAGCUGCGAAAAGCUACGGGGAACUGCAAGCAAGUAUUGAUCCGUAGAUGUCCGAAUGGGGAAACCCACCUGCCGUCAUGGGCAGGUAUCCGAAAGGAAGGGAACCCGGGGAACUGAAACAUCUAAGUACCCGGAGGAAGAGAAAUCAAACGAGAUGCCCACAGUAGCGGCGAGCGAAGAGGGCAGAGGGCAAACCGGUGAGCUACGGCUCGCCGGGGUUGAGGACUGCAUUUAGUCUCAAUGGUCUAUCCGAACUACCUGGAAAGGUAGGCAAUACAGUGUAAAAGCCACGUAGGUUAAAGACCGGAGAGAUGAGCAGUAUCCAGAGUACCACGAGGCACGAGGAAUCUUGUGGGAAGCCGGGGGGACCACCCUCCAACCCUAAACACUGAAUGGCGACCGAUAGCGUAUAGUACCGUGAGGGAAAGGUGAAAAGAACCCCGGGAGGGGAGUGAAAGAGAACCUGAAACCGUAUGUCUACAAGCAGUCGGAGCGAAAGCGACGGCGUGCCUAUUGAAGAAUGAACCAACGAGUUACGUGCACUAGCGAGGUUAAGUGGAAGACACGGAGCCGAAGCGAAAGCGAGUCUUAAGAGGGCGGAUAGUUAGUGUACGUAGACCCGAAACCGCAGUGAUCUACCCAUGUCCAGGUUGAAGCGCAGGUAAAAUUGCGUGGAGGACCGAACCUGUGAGCGUUGAAAAGCUUUAGGAUGAGAUGUGGGUAGAGGUGAAAUUCCAAUCGAACGCGGAGAUAGCUGGUUCUCCCCGAAAUAGCUUUAGGGCUAGCCUCAAGUAGUAAGUAUAGGCGGUAGAGCACUGAUCGGGCUAGGGGCCAUAAAGGUUACCGAACCCUGUCAAACUCCGAAUGGUUAUACUGUAGAGCUUGGGAGUCAGACUACGAGUGAUAAGAUCCGUGGUCAAAAGGGAAACAGCCCAGACCACCAGCUAAGGUCCCCAAUGUCGUACUAAGUGGAAAAGGAUGUGGGGUCUCUAAAACAACCAGGAUGUUGGCUUAGAAGCAGCCACCAUUUAAAGAGUGCGUAAUAGCUCACUGGUCGAGAGACCCUGCGCCGAAGAUUACCGGGGCUAAAGUACGAAACCGAAGCUGUGGCUACGACAUAUGUCGUGGGGUAGGGGAGCGUUCUGUGAGGGCUGAAGUCGUUCUGUAAGGAACGGUGGACUUCACAGAAGUGAGAAUGUUGGUAUGAGUAGCGAAAAGAAUGGUGAGAAUCCAUUCCACCGAAAGCAUAAGGAUUCCUGGGCAACGAUCGUCGUCCCAGGGUAAGUCGGGACCUAAUCCGAGGCAUGGAGCGUAGGAGAUGGACAACUGGCAGAUAUUCCAGUACCGGUAAUGAUUGUUUGAGCGAUGGAGUGACACAGGAGGGCAGGCAGGCAGGAGAUUGGUUGUUCCUGUACAAGCGUGUAGGAUGGGACGCAGGCAAAUCCGCGUCCUGUGAGUCUGAGGCGUGAUGUGGAGGUUCCGGAAACGGAACUGAAGCUGCUGACCCCACACUGUCGAGAAAAGCUUCUAGUUAGAGAAUUACCGCCCGUACCGUAAACCGACACAGGUAUGCGGGGAGAGAAUCCUAAGGUGCGCGGGAGAACCCUCGUUAAGGAACUCGGCAAAAUGUACCCGUAACUUCGGGAUAAGGGUAGCCGCUGUUGUGAAGUCUGAACAGACGGAGCAUGAGGCGGUCGCAGAGAAGAGGCCCAAGCGACUGUUUACCACAAACACAGGUGCCUGCUAAAGAGAAAUCUGACGUAUAGGUGCUGACACCUGCCCAGUGCCGGAAGGUUAAGGAAGGAUGUCCGGAGCAAUCCAAAGCAUUCGACCGAAGCCCCGGUGAACGGCGGCCGUAACUAUAACGGUCCUAAGGUAGCGAAAUUCCUUGUCGGGUAAG